CUGGCUCAGAUUGAACGCUGGCGGCAGGCCUAACACAUGCAAGUCGAGCGGAUGAAGGGAGCUUGCUCCUGGAUUCAGCGGCGGACGGGUGAGUAAUGCCUAGGAAUCUGCCUGGUAGUGGGGGAUAACGUCCGGAAACGGGCGCUAAUACCGCAUACGUCCUGAGGGAGAAAGUGGGGGAUCUUCGGACCUCACGCUAUCAGAUGAGCCUAGGUCGGAUUAGCUAGUUGGUGGGGUAAAGGCCUACCAAGGCGACGAUCCGUAACUGGUCUGAGAGGAUGAUCAGUCACACUGGAACUGAGACACGGUCCAGACUCCUACGGGAGGCAGCAGUGGGGAAUAUUGGACAAUGGGCGAAAGCCUGAUCCAGCCAUGCCGCGUGUGUGAAGAAGGUCUUCGGAUUGUAAAGCACUUUAAGUUGGGAGGAAGGGCAGUAAGUUAAUACCUUGCUGUUUUGACGUUACCCAACAGAAUAAGCACCGGCUAACUUCGUGCCAGCAGCCGCGGUAAUACGAAGGGUGCAAGCGUUAAUCGGAAUUACUGGGCGUAAAGCGCGCGUAGGUGGUUCAGCAAAGUUGGAUGUGAAAUCCCCGGGCUCAACCUGGGAACUGCAUCCAAAAACUACUGAGCUAGAGUACGGUAGAGGGUGGUGGAAAUUUCCUGUGUAGCGGUGAAAUGCGUAGAUAUAGGAAGGAACACCAGUGGCGAAGGCGACCACCUGGACUGAUACUGACACUGAGGUGCGAAAGCGUGGGGAGCAAACAGGAUUAGAUACCCUGGUAGUCCACGCCGUAAACGAUGUCGACUAGCCGUUGGGAUCCUUGAGAUCUUAGUGGCGCAGCUAACGCG
rnacentral:rRNA from 1 species